UCAGAUGUGAAAGACCCGGGGCGUCAAACCUCCGGAAUAGCAUUUGUAAACUAGGCAGACUAGAGUACUGUAGAGGGGGGUAGGAAGUUUCAGGUGUAGCGGUGAAAAUGCGUAGAGAUCUGAAGGAAUACCGGUGGCGAAGGCGGCCCCCUCGGACAGAUACUGACACUCAGAUGCGAAGGCGUGGGGAGCAAACAGGAUUAGAUACCCUGGUAG
rnacentral:rRNA from 1 species